CGCGGCCUAUCAGCUUGUUGGUGGGGUAAUGGCCUACCAAGGCGACGACGGGUAGCCGGCCUGAGAGGGUGAUCGGCCACACUGGGACUGAGACACGGCCCAGACUCCUACGGGAGGCAGCAGUGGGGAAUAUUGCACAAUGGGCGAAAGCCUGAUGCAGCGACGCCGCGUGGGGGAUGACGGUCUUCGGAUUGUAAACUCCUUUCAGUAGGGACGAAGCGAAAGUGACGGUACCUGCAGAAGAAGCACCGGCCAACUACGUGCCAGCAGCCGCGGUAAUACGUAGGGUGCAAGCGUUGUCCGGAAUUACUGGGCGUAAAGAGCUCGUAGGCGGUUUGUCACGUCGUCUGUGAAAUCCUCCAGCUCAACUGGGGGCGUGCAGGCGAUACGGGCAGACUUGAGUACUACAGGGGAGACUGGAAUUCCUGGUGUAGCGGUGAAAUGCGCAGAUAUCAGGAGGAACACCGGUGGCGAAGGCGGGUCUCUGGGUAGUAACUGACGCUGAGGAGCGAAAGGGUGGGGAGCAAACAGGCUUAGAUACCCUGGUAGUCCACCCCGUAAACGUUGGGAACUAGUUGUGGGGUCCAUUCCACGGACUCCGUGACGCAGCUAACGCAUUAAGUUCCCCGCCUGGGGAGUACGGA
rnacentral:rRNA from 1 species